CCUCCUGUGGCACAAUGGGUCAAUGUGCCUUGCUGUUAACCAGAAGGUCGGGGGUUUGAACCCACUCAGGGAUG